GCCCCGUUGGCUAAGUGGUAUAGCGUCUCACUAGUAAAGUGAUGAGAUGAGAAGAUCACUGGUUCGAUUCCAGUACGGGGCA
rnacentral:tRNA from 1 species